rnacentral:rRNA from 1 species
UUAUUAUGAGAGUUUGAUCCUGGCUCAGGACGAACGCUGGCGGCGUGCCUAAUACAUGCAAGUCGAACGCUUCUUUCCUCCCGAGUGCUUGCACUCAAUUGGAAAGAGGAGUGGCGGACGGGUGAGUAACACGUGGGUAACCUACCCAUCAGAGGGGGAUAACACUUGGAAACAGGUGCUAAUACCGCAUAACAGUUUAUGCCGCAUGGCAUAAGAGUGAAAGGCGCUUUCGGGUGUCGCUGAUGGAUGGACCCGCGGUGCAUUAGCUAGUUGGUGAGGUAACGGCUCACCAAGGCCACGAUGCAUAGCCGACCUGAGAGGGUGAUCGGCCACACUGGGACUGAGACACGGCCCAGACUCCUACGGGAGGCAGCAGUAGGGAAUCUUCGGCAAUGGACGAAAGUCUGACCGAGCAACGCCGCGUGAGUGAAGAAGGUUUUCGGAUCGUAAAACUCUGUUGUUAGAGAAGAACAAGGACGUUAGUAACUGAACGUCCCCUGACGGUAUCUAACCAGAAAGCCACGGCUAACUACGUGCCAGCAGCCGCGGUAAUACGUAGGUGGCAAGCGUUGUCCGGAUUUAUUGGGCGUAAAGCGAGCGCAGGCGGUUUCUUAAGUCUGAUGUGAAAGCCCCCGGC